CUAAGCGUACACGGUGGAUGCCCUGGCAGUCAGAGGCGAUGAAGGACGUGCUAAUCUGCGAAAAGCGACGGCGAGGUGAUAUGAACCUUUGACCCGUCGAUGUCCGAAUGGGGAAACCCAGUGUGUUUCGACACACUAUCGUUAACUGAAUACAUAGGUUAACGAGGCGAACCGGGGGAACUGAAACAUCUAAGUACCCCGAGGAAAAGAAAUCAACCGAGAUU
rnacentral:rRNA from 1 species